rnacentral:rRNA from 1 species
UCAAUAAGCGGAGGAAAAGAAACCAACAGGGAUUGCCUUAGUAGCGGCGAGUGAAGCGGCAAUAGCUCAAAUUUGAAAUCUGGCACCUUCGGUGUCCGAGUUGUAAUUUGAAGAAGGUAUCUUUGGUUUUGGCUCUUGUCUAUGUUUCUUGGAACAGGACGUCACAGAGGGUGAGAAUCCCGUGCGAUAAGAUGCCCAAUUCCAUGUAAAGUUCCUUCGACGAGUCGAGUUGUUUGGGAAUGCAGCUCUAAGUGGGUGGUAAAUUCCAUCUAAAGCUAAAUAUUGGCGAGAGACCGAUAGCGAACAAGUACUGUGAAGGAAAGAUGAAAAGAACUUUGAAAAGAGAGUGAAAAAGUACGUGAAAUUGUUGAAAGGGAAGGGCUUGAGGUCAGACUUGGUUUUACCAGGCCAGCAUCAGUUUGGAUGGCAGGAUAAUAGCUAAGAAAUGUGGCACUGCUUCGGUAGUGUGUUAUAUUCUUUGUUGAUACUGCCUGUCUAGACUGAGGACUGCGUCUUUGACUAGGAUGCUGGCAUAAUGACCUUAAGCCGCCCGUCUUGAAACAA